CUCCCUGGCUGUGUGCCCUGGGAAGGGCUGGAGAUCACUGUUCAGUGAGCUAAAGGGCUGAGUGUGAGUGAGAGUGCCCGCCAGGAUGAGGACAAGGGCAAAGCGGUCCGGACCAUGCCAGGUGGAACAGCCCAGACCUCAGGGACUCCUUACGUCAGAGAAUUGGGCUUGAGGAAACUUCUCCUCUUCCCACUGGGCAGCCUGCAACCACCCAGGGCCUGGCCUGGUUUUUCCAGUUGGACCAGAAACGCCUGCUGAGCAUUUCUAAGGAGGGGAUGGAUGGACCCUCUGCCGUUCCCCAUCCUGGAAGCUUCCGUCUCCAGCCCUCUGGAACCCACAAACGUGGGGCGCUGGGCAGCAUCGGAGAACCCGAACCAGCGCUGCGGGUGGUCGGAGCGUCCCUGGAAGCCGUUCCCACCCUUCACAGUUAA
rnacentral:lncRNA from 12 species